CCCAGCCCCAGGCUUGCUGAGGCAGUGUGAGAACGGGCGGUGAGAAGGCUGGAUGGGCUGAGAAACAUGAAAGGCUCCUAUUUAUAAUCCCACCCAGAGUGGGGGGGUCAGGUGCCAGACCUGGCCUGAACUGCACCACGGAAGUCCCCAGCGGGUUCUCCUGUGACACGGGGCCUGUGCAGCCCAGAACCUCGGCCACUGUGCCCCACAGGGUGGGCUGUGCCAGCCGGGGUCAGGCCGCAGGACUCCCAGGCUGGCUUGUCCUUGAGGGGCAGUGGCCGAUGGCUGCCAGUUCCUGCCAAUACACAGGUGGGAUGGGACCCUUCGUUAAUAUCUGACUUUAAUAAGUUGGCAAGGAUAUAUUUUUUUGUCUACAUUCUGUUUCAACUUAUGUAGAUUAUAAAUUGAUGUAAACCAUGUGAAAGGAAAAUGUUAAUAAAAAAAUGCAAAGCCCCAACAUUUGCACAAAACUCAGCCCUGCGGUGUGGAUGUUUGUGUUCGCCGUGGUCCGGGGAAGCCACGAAUCUAAAUAUUUAACUCUUCCAGCUGCAUCCAGAUGUGAGUUUCCAAGCAUGUUUACCUAGUUCACUCCCCUUGAGCCUCCCUGUGGCCAUGGGGGCUGAGGCAGAGCUGGGGGAGGUGGGCUCGAGGCCUCUCCUUGCUCCUCACAAGGCCCCCGAUCAGCCAGCAUCCAGGCCACUUGUGGUCUCGCCUUGGGCAUUUGUGUACAGUUCCUUUCGCAAAGUGAAAAUGUCCACCCGGGACCUGGCCAUGGCACAAGGUUGUCCAUUGAAGAGGAAGCUGCUUAUUUUCUGUGAUCACUUCUCUACAUCUUCCUUCCACGUGGUAUAUCUUUGAGGCGGCCUCUGGUCUAACCUGCUUGUCAGAGAAGCUGGAUCCCCGAGGCCCCCCCGCUUUGGGAGAGCAGUGGCGUUGAUGUAGGCUCCCACCAGCCUCAGCAACUGGACACUGAGUUUAUUCUGAAGAUCAGGAACAGAUGUCUCUGAAAAUUGCUGUUUGGUUUAUGAGCUCAUACUGGCUCCACAGCCAUCUAAAACAGGAAACGAUUCAUCUCCUCUCGAGUGAAUAGGCAGUGUGGGCAAUGGCUGGCUUACUGAACCGACAGCCACUGACAGUGCCCCCUCCCCCCAGCUUGUGGCAUUUCUUGUACUGGGUCCCACGUGCUAAACGGAAAGACAGAAGAUCCCAGACACCCCAGGACUGCGCCAGGUAGGAGUGUCCGACGGCCCUUUCCACGUGCUAGAUGGGAAGUCAGAAGAUCCCAGGCACCCCAGGACCACACCAGGUGCCAGGUAGGAGUGUCUGAUGACCCUUUCCACGUACUAGACUGAAAGUCAGAAGAUCCCAGGCACCCCAGGACCACGCCAGGCGCCAGGUAGGAGCACCUAAUGGCCCUUGCUUCAGAGUGCUGGUGCCCUGUAUUCGGGGGCAGUAGAGGAAACAGUGUCUCCUGGGCUCUGGGGAGUUCUCCAGCUGGCCUAGCAGUGAUGAAGCCUCCUAGCUGUGAGAGAGGGAGGGGCGUUAUAUAGAAUUCACCAUACAAGGACAUGAGCCCUGAGCUCACAUUCAUUCCCAGGAAAUGGCAAACACGGCCCGGGGAAGGUGCCACCAGCUGGGUUUGAUCAUCACUCACACACAGACAACACUCGGGACGCCAUGUAUGCCGAGUCUGAAGUCUGGCUAAGAGCGCGUGGGCUAGAAGACAGGGCAGAGGAGGAAGAAGGC